rnacentral:tRNA from 1 species
GGGGCUAUAGCUCAGCUGGGAGAGCGCAGCGCUUGCAUGGCAUGCAAGAGGUCAGCGGUUCGAUCCCGCUUAGCUCCACCA